GAGGGAAGUAAUUCCUGUUGGGUUUUGUGGGCCCCCAGGGAACAACCGUAGGUGUCUGUGGGAGGGAGCUAGAGUCUUAGCCGAGCAGGUAGCAUGUCAAGGGUGUUCUGGCUUGUCUGUGUGCUGGGCUUAAUGUUUGAUGUAUUGUGCUCAUGUUUAAGAGCCGCCCUAGUUGGGCUCUCGAGGGGUGUUCCUGCAUGCGAUUGAGACCUGUGUCGUGUUUCAGCUGUCGCCGUGCAUGCAGGUGACUUGUUUGACAUCGGUUUGGCAGGUGCCGAGGGAGGAGUCGUGCAGGGUGAUGGAGGACGGCGCUGUCAGCAGGUGGUGGGCGAGCCUCAAGAUGGCGACCGUAUCUGAUGGAGGCCAGGCAGGUGAGCUGUCGAGGAAAAGGUGCCGCACGCAGGCUUCGGAGGGGAGACGCCGCAUGGCGACGAGAGGUCCGAGAGGUUGUGCGCCGGCUGCCUUUGGGCCUGGAUGCGCAUUUGAGGUGA